rnacentral:rRNA from 1 species
CAGUAGCCGCGGUAAUACCGAGGGUGCAAGCGUUAAUCGGAAUUACUGGGCGUAAAGCGCGCGUGGGUGGUUCGCCAAGUUGGAUGUGAAAUCCCCGGGCUCAACCUGGGAACUGCAUCCAAAACUGGCGAGCUAGAGUAUGGUAGAGGGUGGUGGAAUUUCCUGUGUAGCGGUGAAAUGCGUAGAUAUAGGAAGGAACAUCAGUGGCGAAGGCGACCACCUGGACUGAUACUGACACUGAGGUGCGAAAGCGUGGGGAGCAAACAGGAUUAGAUACCCCAGUAGUCCCUGUCUCUUAUAC